AAUCAACGCUGGCGGCGUGCCUAACACAUGCAAGUCGCGCGAGAAAGUGGAGCAAUCCAUGAGUAAAGCGGCGCACGGGUGAGUAACACGUGACUAACCUACCCUCGAGUGGGGAAUAACUGAGGGAAACCUUAGCUAAUACCGCAUAACACCUACGGGUCAAAGGAGCAAUUCGCUUCAGGAGGGGGUCGCGGCCGAUUAGUUAGUUGGCAGGGUAAUGGCCUACCAAGACGAUGAUCGGUAUCCGGCCUGAGAGGGCGCACGGACACACUGGAACUGAAACACGGUCCAGACUCCUACGGGAGGCAGCAGUGGGGAAUUUUGCGCAAUGGGGGAAACCCUGACGCAGCAACGCCGCGUGGAGGAUGAAGUCCCUUCGGGACGUAAACUCCUUUCGAUCGGGACGAUUAUGACGGUACCGAGAGAAGAAGCCCCGGCUAACUUCGUGCCAGCAGCCGCGGUAAUACGAGGGGGGCGAGCGUUGUUCGGAAUUAUUGGGCGUAAAGGGUGCGUAGGCGGUUGGUAAGUCUAUGUGAAAUCUACAGGCUCCACUUGUAGUCUGCAUGCGAAACUGCCGGCCUGAGUGUGGAAAGGUGAG
rnacentral:rRNA from 1 species